ACGGAGAGCAGGCAGAGCAGCAGGGAAAUGUGGGCUGCGAGGAGGCAGAAGAGGAGCCGGAGAGAGGAGAGGCAGCAGCCUCCAGGCUGGACACCCAACAAGCACCGGCAGGAACCGAGAACGUGUCUCUGGCUACCCCUCACACUGGACACUCACCUUGCCGUCCACGAGGAUGUCAAAGCGAAUCCCAAACACCUUGAAGAGCCCGUGGAACUCAUAGACGGGUUUGCAGUGUCGCACAUGCCAGUCCAGGUCGCAGUGCCAGUCGAUGGUGAUGCCUACCACCCCGCCCUACCAGGGACACAGGCCCUCAAGAUCCGGGGUUUAAGAUCAAGAACUCCUGCCUUACAGCUGGUGCAGCUGUUUUCUGUUUGUUUGAGAAGAGACACUGAGAAGCUGAUUCAGGGUUGAGGUCCUGUCACCCUCUCUGGUCCUGCCUCCCACCCAUCACAUUCCAGCUUUCUGACAGUUUCUAGAAUACACCAGGUUCUUCCUACCCCAGGGCCUUUGCACAUGCAGUCACUCUCCCCCCACCCGCCACCAUUCCCCACAAGGCUGGUUCUUUCUCAUCCUUUGGUCACUUCUCCUGGGAAGCCUUCCCUGACCACCACCCCCAGUCUAAAAUAUGCCCUUGUGAUUCCCUCUGUGUUUUCUUCUAGAACAUGUGUCACUUUGUAACCACACAUUUAUUUUGUGUGACUAUUAAUGCAUCUCUUCCAAGACUGUAAACUUCACAAGGGUGGAGCUGUCUGUCUCAUUUGCACUGAUUCCUGAGUCACAGCGCAGGAGGCAAGUAAAUAGCUGUUGAAUUAAAGAGGGAGUCUGUAAAGACAUGGGCUGGGAAGAGAAAACCUGAGAAAGUGAAGCUCCUCUGGGCGAGGCAAGGAUCAGGGACAGGUGGGCUGAGCAAGAGGAGAGUUGGGUGUGGAGCUGGGCAGCUAGGCGGGAGGCUGGAUGCCUACAGACAAUGGUGAUGGGUGAGAAGUUCCUACUGGGGGUGGCAGGGAGAUUUUUAGGAACAGGGGAAACUAACAUUCAGCUUUCUGGUCCUGUGUGUUGCUACCAUGUAAGCCCCCUCCAGGGGUUGGCAAACUGAGGCCUCAGGGUCGAAUCUGUUUUCACAUUGCCUGUGGAUGGCUGCCUUGGCCCUAUAGCAGCUGACCUGGGUAGCUGGAACAGAGACCAUGUGACCUGUGGCCCACACUUAUUCUCUGGCCCUUUAAAGAAAAAGUUUGCUGACCCGUGUUCUCCACAAAGGCACUGUGGGUGAGUUGUUUUGGUGUGUGAUGUCACAGAGUGGGGCUGAUUUCCAUCCCUGGACCCCACAGGAGCGGAUGAUAAGGAUUGAGAGGGAGCAUGUACCGAGGAUGCCUUGGGCCAGGCCACCCUGAAGUGCUGUCCCGUGCCCUCAAGACAGUCCCGAGAGAUUUCUACUAUUAUCGCUCCCACUUUACAGGUGCAAAAGCGCAGACUCACUGAAGAUGCGUCUCUGAGCCACUCUCCGUUCCUAAAGCUGCGUCUUGGACUGGAGGCUGGAAAUCCUCACCUGCUCCCCCUGCUGGCCUGUGCCUGGAGUUCCACCAUUCUUUUCACUAUGAAAAUACUAUUAUUAGUUGGCCAGGGAGCAGAGCCCCUGGAGGUCUCUUUCAGAGCCUUUCCAAGAGUAGCAUUUGUUGGAGGUCAAGCUGCUUGGACUCCAAUCUUCAUCCCUAUCUCCUUCCUUCCUGAGUUCUUCCCGCUGAGAAAGAGCAGAGUGUGAUGAUGGCCGAGAGCCUGGCCUUUGGUGCCCAAGAGUCUGGGCUUGAAUCUCACAGGCUGUAUGAUCUGGGGUAAACUAGUCUCUGUUUAGGGCAAAUCCCUCUCUGUUUCAGUUUCCUUGUAAAAUGUAAACAAUAAUAGUACCAAUACUACUUAUGUUGUGAGCUAAUGCCCGUGAAAGCACUUGGAAUGGAAACUGGCAUUGUGUAGACUAAGCACUGUGUAGACAUUAGCUACUAUUAUCUCAGCCAUGCUGGGAGCUCUUGGGGAGGGGGACUGACUGGAAGGGAAACCAGAGGGGCAAGUGGCCCUUUGAAGGGCUCACAGCAUCUGGCCCCAGAUGAGGCCCUUGUGGGUGUGGGUCAGGCUGGAGGUCUCCCAGCUUUCUCAGGAAAUUCUGGCCUUCCCCUCCCAGCAGCAAGAACCCCUGUUCCUCUGGGUUCUCCACUUUCAAUCUGGGAGGUUUAGUGGGGUCAACCUCCCUCCUAGCCCCACAGUGGGGGGGCACAUGACCAGGGUUUGCCAAUCAACGUUCCACUGCCCCAGCGACAGCAGUGGGUCUAAGGAUGGGCACACAGCCCUGAGGAGUUUCAGCAACACGGCCAGAAUUUUUCUGGGAAUUACUGGGAAAGAGAUCCUCUCGGUUGGGUGGCUAAGCAAGGUAUGGUUAGUCAUCUGUGUUACCUCACGGAGAGAGCAAGCCUGAGAAUGAAGCCAACUUAGAGAAAAGCCAGGCCAGUAGACGGAGAGGGGCAGACUCCUGACAAUGUUGCUUGAGCACCUGGAUCCUGCCAUACCUGAAGCAUGUUGAAAAGUCACUUCUGGACUUUUCAGUCAUACAAGUUAAUAAAUUUUUUCCUUUAUUUAAGCCAAUUUGGGU